rnacentral:rRNA from 1 species
UGCGCAGGCGGUUUGUUAAGACAGUCGUGAAAUCCCCGGGCUUAACCUGGGAACUGCGAUUGUGACUGGCAAGCUAGAGUACGGCAGAGGGGGGUGGAAUUCCUGGUGUAGCAGUGAAAUGCGUAGAGAUCAGGAGGAACACCGAUGGCGAAGGCAGCCCCCUGGGCUAGUACUGACGCUCAUGCACGAAAGCGUGGGGAGCAAACA